UGGUAUGAAUGUAUUAGUCUAGGUUGUUUUCCUGAAAUUUCAGUAAAACUUGAUGAUAUUCCUAUUCUGUCCUGGUGAUCCUUCUGACUCAGCUUAUAUGUCAUCCAAAAGAACUUGGGAUUGACCAGUAACUUAGAUUCCCCUGGAGGAAGAACUGGUCUGACGCAACAAUGCAAACGGACUAUUCCGGACAAGGCUUGCAGAUUUGGUCACUGUGGAGGGAGGUGUGGCCAGCGCUGCUUGCAGGAGCGAAAGUCACCGCCUCUAUCCAUGGUUUUGAGGACAGAGUGCCAUCAGAUGGGGGCGUGGCAGUGCUGGCGGCGAGACACAGCUGAACAGUAAGCGGCCGGGAACAGGAGGGGAGAGAGGAUACGGAGGUGACUGAAAAGUCACACCCUGCUUGGCUAACAGUGGAACUGCCGGGAAGCAACUUCCACAGUCACAUUUUCAUUAGACCCAUAAUAAAUUCAUAAAAG